UCCGUUAUGGUGUAGUGGCUAACAUUAUCGCCUCUCAUAAGUCAAGAACACUUGAAUUUCAUGACGCGAUAGCCCAGGGUUCGAUUCCCUGUAACGGAA